UAAAAAGGUUUAAAGUAGAAAUAUAUUUAUUAGUACUUCUAUAUAUUUUAUAGCGGACAAGAUCUUUUAAUUAACGGAAAAAUGAAAAUUAUUACUUUAUUCCUUGUUGUAGCAUGUAUUGUUGCCGCUGCAGUGGCAGCUCCAGAUAAUUAUAAUGCCCAAGGCGUUGCUAAUUCCGGAUAUUGGAAUCAGGGAGGCAAAUAAUUUAAAUAAUUUAAUUCUUUUAUAUUUAUAAAAUAAAUAAAUUUAUAAAUUGUAUUAAAUUUA